rnacentral:rRNA from 1 species
UAGGGAAUCUUCCACAAUGGACGCAAGUCUGAUGGAGCAACGCCGCGUGAGUGAAGAAGGUCUUCGGAUCGUAAAGCUCUGUUGUUGGUGAAGAAGGAUAGAGGCAGUAACUGGUCUUUAUUUGACGGUAAUCAACCAGAAAGUCACGGCUAACUACGUGCCAGCAGCCGCGGUAAUACGUAGGUGGCAAGCGUUGUCCGGAUUUAUUGGGCGUAAAGCGAGCGCAGGCGGAAUGAUAAGUCUGAUGUGAAAGCCCACGGCUCAACCGUGGAACUGCAUCGGAAACUGUCAUUCUUGAGUGCAGAAGAGGAGAGUGGAACUCCAUGUGUAGCGGUGGAAUGCGUAGAUAUAUGGAAGAACACCAGUGGCGAAGGCGGCUCUCUGGUCUGCAAACUGACGCUGAGGCUCGAAAAGCAUGGGUAGCGAACAGGAUUAGAUACCCUGGUAGUCCAUGCCGUAAAACGAUGAGCGCUAGGUGUUGGGGACUUUCCGGUCCUCAGUGCCGCAGCAAAACG